AUGGAUGACAACCUUUGCCCCAUAGUUAGCUGGAAUGUGCGAGGGCUCAAUGUGCCGGCCAAACAUGACGCUGUCUGUGAAGCAGUAGCUGUACAUCGACCGGCGAUCCUCUGUCUUCAGGAAACGAAGAUCGACGACUGGUCCCCAGCCCUGGUGAGGGACAUAGGUGGUAGCAGGCUAGCCGACUGCGUAGUGUUACCUGCGAUCGGCUCCCGUGGCGGGGUUGCCAUUUUGUGGGACAGCCAGAUCGUUUCGAUCGUGUCUCAGGCUGUAGGAGAGUUCGCUAUCACUGCAAAAGUGAUUGUCCUCCAUUCGGCCACCGUCUUCUGGUUAACUGCAGUCUACGGGCCGGCAAAGGACGCUCGGAAGGAUGCAUUCCUUCUCGAGCUGGCAAGAUCUGCACUCCCCUCUAGUGAUCCCUAGCUUCUCACCAGCGACUUUAACAUUAUCUAUGAAGCUAGAGAUAAGAACAAUUUCAACCUGAACCGGUGGAUCAUGGGGAAGUUUAGGGCAGCUUUAGAUGCAGCCUGGUUGCGGGAAAUCAAGUGUAAAAAUAGGAAGUUCACAUGGAGUAAUGAACGCCAAAACCCCACGCUGGUUAGUAUAGAUAAAUUUUUCUGCACGGUUAGCUGGGAGCUUCUCUUCCCCGCCUAUGGCCUGAUGGCCGCAGCCACGGCGUGCUCCGACCAUUGCCCACUGAUCCUGGCGCCAUGCAACGCCCCGCCCCGUCGUGCUUGUUGGAAAUAUGUCCUAGAGGCAAUAAUAAAAUGGUUAUUAUUAUAUUUCCUUGUUCAUGAUAAUUGUCUAUUGUUCAUGCUAUAA
rnacentral:rRNA from 1 species